UUACUGACACUGAGGUGCGAAAGCAUGGGUAGCGAAGAGGAUUAGAUACCCUCGUAGUCCAUGCCGUAAACGAUGUGUGCUAGACGUUGGAAAUUUAUUUUCAGUGUCGCAGCGAAAGCGAUAAGCACACCGCCUGGGGAGUACGACCGCAAGGUUAAAACUCAAAUGAAUUGACGGGGACCCGCACAAGCAGUGGAGCAUGUGGUUUAAUUCGAAGAUACGCGCAGAACCUUACCAACACUUGACAUGUUCGUCGCGACUUUAAGAGAUUAAAGUCUUCGGUUCGGCCGGACGAAACACAGGUGCUGCAUGGCUGUCGUCAGCUCGUGUCGUGAGAUGUUGGGUUAAGUCCCGCAACGAGCGCAACCCUUACUUUUAGUUGCCACCAUUUAGUUGGGCACUCUGAAAGAACUGCCAGUGAUAAGCUGGAGGAAGGUGGGGAUGACGUCAAGUCCUCAUGGCCCUUACGUGUUGGGCUACACACGUGCUACAAUGGCACUUACAAUAGGAAGCGAGAUGGCGACAUCAAGCAAAUCCUAAAAAAAUGCCUCAGUUCGGAUUGUACUCUGCAACUCGAGUACAUGAAGCUGGAAUUGCUAGUAAUCGCGGAUCAGCGCGCCGCGGUGAAUACGUUCCCGGGUCUU
rnacentral:rRNA from 1 species